rnacentral:lncRNA from 1 species
UAUCUAGUUUUGUUAAACCCUCCUCCUAUGGGGCAAUUCCUUUUAAAAUGUCCUGUUUGUUCACAAUUGUAGCAUGUUUUUGGCCUGGCAUCUAAAGCCUGUUGUACUGCAGCUGCCAAGACUUGCCCUUGUUCAUUAAUGUCUCUGCAUAAUUUAAUAUAUGUGUUUAAAUUUCCAUGUUUCCACGGUCUAAUGGCCUCCCUGCACCAUCUGUUUGCUUGUUCAUAGGCUAGUUGUUUUAUUAAUAGCAUCACUUGUUCUGUGUCCCUGAAAACUCUGGUAGCUGUUUGAAUAAGCCUAUCUACAAAUUCAGCGUAAGGUUCAUUAGCUCCUUGUAUUAUUUUAGAUAAUUGACCUUGUAAAUCUUCAUGUCCUUGUAAAGUCUUCCAUGCCCUAACUGCAUCUGCAGCAAUUUGUGAAUAUAUAGCAGGAUCAUAUUCAAUUUGUUGCCGCUGACCCUCAUAAGGUCCUUUUCCUAACAACAUCUCUAGAUUUCCCUGAGGGUAACCGGCUGCUGCAUUUCGCCUAGCCGUCUCUGUGCAAAAUUCCUGAUUGGCAACCUUCCAUAACAAAUAUUGCCCUCCACUUAGCACAGCUUUACACAUGCUAGCCCAAUCUGCUGGCGUCAUGUCCAAGUUGGUAAUAGAUUCGACCAUAUUUACAGUGAAGGGUGCUUGAGGGCCAUAGGUUGUUAUAACCUCUUUUAGUUGCUUCACUGUUUUGAAAUCUAAAGCACAGUGAAUUCACUGCCCUCCUCUCAAAUAUAGGGCAUGCUAAUCUUUGAGGUCCUGUCUCAGGAUCCCAUCUAUCAACUACAGGGGUUGAGGGCCACUCAACAUGUGUUGUCUGUAUAGGUGGAGCUGUUGGUUGGACACUUACGCCCUCUGGUGAUAAAAUGGUGUUAGUAGCAGCCUCCUGUUGUAAUUUUUUUCCCUAAUAGCUGUUUCUCCUCUGAGCUUUCUUCCUUUAGAUUUUCUUCCUCUGUCUGACUAGCUCGAGAGACCUUCUCUUUUGCUUGAUCUAUCAUGUUUUCUAUCAUAGUCUGAACCUCUGACAAUUCACUUAACACUCUUUCAGUUUGGUUUUUACUAAUUUCUGGUCCCAUCUUUCUACUAAAAAGAUAACACAUAACAAAACCGAAACAGAAUGAAACCAAAAUGGAACAAAAAUGCAUUGUAUCAAUUUUCCUAUUUUCUUGAAAUGUAUGUUCGUGGUCUAUUUCUCUCUCUAUCUUAGGGGCGAACCUUGAGCCAACCAUUUUCCCCAGUUUGCCUGAGAAAGUUCUAGGGACAGGCAACUUGAAAUAAAAACAAAAUAAAUCAAAACAAGAACACAUUGUUUUUUGAAGUGGUCACCCAUUCUCUCACUCUUCCUCAGGGGCGAGCAAUUUCACUUACCUCCAAGCUUCAGGAGUUCCCUGCAUGGGCCACCAAAUGCUGCAGUCUGGCUGGGCACAAAUAACCGAGCCACCACAAAUCCUUGUAGAUUCAAACAACAACUCUUUAUUCCCCAACUCUCACCAGCACUGCACACAUCACACGGGAACACACUAUCUCCACUGGGCUCCAUCCAAUCUCUCUGAACCCCUGUGAGAACUGCACAGGAACUCCAAAGUAGCAGGCGCCUGAGGCAGCAAGAGCUGCCCUAUUGCCUGACAGUAAGGUCAAAU